GUCUUUGCUUCUUAUGGUGCAUUCGUUUCCUUGUUUCAGCCUCUGCUAUGGUUCGUGAGGCUCCGGGUCCUUCUUUGGUCAUGUUGUCGAUGGGCGAUCGUCUACGGAAGCUUCCUCAGUCUUUGUUGGGUCUACUUCUGAUGAGUAUUUUCUUCUCAAUUUGCUGUCUUUUUUUAUUGUAUAAUUUUGCUAUUUACGCUAUUUGUGUUCUUUUUCUUAGUUUUGGCCUCUAGCGAGGCCCGUCGGCGUGGUUGGAAAUUUAGCACACGCUAUUUGUGUUUUUGUGCUUAGUUUUGUCUUCUGGUGAGGCCCGACGAUGGUUGGAAAUUCGGCGUGAGAAUCAUCAUCUGGUGAGUGCUUGCUUUGUUGGUGUUGUUAUUAGCUUCAUGUCCUUUAGUUGAUUGGUUGGGGCAUGCUGCUAAGAGGAAUGUCCAGCCUACGUUUAGUGAAUUUAUUGACCCUUAUCUUGCUUCUGUUAAGGUCGUAUCUCCUAUGAAAGUGUUGUACCGUCCUUAUUUUACUACGUCUUAUGGUAAUUUUUCCCCAAGCAUAGUUAUUUUCCUCCUAUAUAUAUAUGAUUGCCUGGUUUACUAUUUUAUUUGUUUAUCUUUUAUAGUCCUACCUACACUUGUUGUUAGUCGUCUUGAUGCUGCUUUUGGGAUCGUCGGACUUUAUGACAGAAGAAUACUUCUGUUCGGAUGUACUUCUCAAUGGAUUUGUCCCAUUCUUCCUUAAGAGCGUCUCUAUGGAGCUAAGGAUAAACCAAAAAAUGCCUCCCCAUCACCUUAGAAUUGGAUUAGCCAUCUACAAAAAGUUACAAUGAUAUUCUGUACAUUCACCAUGCAUGUAAGUUCCUUGUGUUCCAUAGCAAUUUUAUUCGGUUUGCAGUUUUGGAUUGCAACCUACGACCUGCAGUCACCGGCCCUGGGGCUACGAAGCAAGCCGUGCAUGCCCUAAUCUUCAUAAGUAUGUUAUCUCCCGUAGAUGCAAGGUACUUAUCAACCUAUAUUCGCUAAAUUUGUUGGGGUAGCAGCUAAUUUAUCUAGAAUAGCGUAUUGGUGGCUGUUAUUUUUUUUUCCUGUGUCAUUCAGCAAUGAAAUAGCGGUCUUUGCUAUAUGAUUUAUUUCAGUUCAUCUGACGGAACAAGUUUGCAUCUCAUGUCAGAAUUACGGAAAGUUUCUAAAAGGAAAUAUAACCUAAUUUCGUUCCUUCACUCUUGAUUUGUCCCAUUUCAUGUCGUCUGCUCUCCUCUAGGUUCGUCCCCAAUCAUAAAAUUUGGAGUCUCGCACUGAAGAACCAAGGAGGUGGAAGUAUGAACAAUGCCCUCAUCAAAGCAACUCAGUUUGGAUUUGAAUCUAAGGAUGACUAUUGAGAAAAACGUACCCAACCUCCUUCAUAUGAGGCACUUGGCAGGGAGACGAUGGGCUAUACUUCCACAUAGCCUGUGACCAUGAUGAGUAUAUGGUAUUUUGGCUAGCUUUCUUUGUUGUGUUAAAAAUUGAGUCGGGUAGGAUGUGAAGUCUUCACAGAAAUGGAAACAUUUUUGUACGACCACGGACUCUUGAAAGGAACAAAAACAGGUGCCCGAAAUGAUACUCCCUCCGUUCCUAAAUAUAUCUCUUUUUAGAGAUUUCAAUGCGGACUACAUAAGGAGCAAAACAAGGAGUAGAUCGGGAGUAACAUGCAUGCUCCAAGUUGUGAGCAGUUUUGUAUUUCAGAGAGAUGUUUAUCCUAAAGUGAAAGUUUUUCUUAUGAAUAUUUCUUAUUGUGCGAGUCAUGUGGUGUUCGUUCCCUACAUACUUCAGAUUUAAAGGACAGGAUGGCCAACACUCUAUUAAUAUUAUGAACGAUCUGAAUUAACAAUGUUCUUUAAAUAAAAACAUUGUCAUCAAUUGAAGGGUUUUUGAAUUAAAAUAUCCUACAUGGUUAAUUUAAUUCUUUCAAAAAAAUUGUAUUAAUAAUUACCAUACAAUUUCUAUCCCCUUGUCAAUAUGUGAAACCCCUUUUAGUUAAAAACUAGUCAACUGCCCGUGCGUUGCCAUGGGAUAUAUAAUAAACUUAAGACAGAGAGAUAUUUAUCGAAUCAUCACUACUUAUGAGAGUGUUCAAACAAAAAAAUUAUCUUAUGCAAAGCCAACCUUUUUGCUCUUGGGAACUCCUGGUGCAGUCUACAAAAAAUCAUCCAAAGAAUGAUGUAUGCAUAUUUUAAUCUUCUUUACCAUCUCAAAAGGUUAAAAACAACAAUAAUGAGAUAUGCAUUAUGUUCAAAAAUAACAAGAACCAAUGCAAAUAGAAAUAUGUAGAAACACGACCAACUUCUUAUUUUUUGCACAAGCUGCAUUAACUUUAAUUAUUUUAUGAAGGUUUAUAGGCUCAACAAACAUGUAGAUUACUACACACGUGAAAUUUGUGAUGUUUUUCUACAAGAAGAAAUUUUGAAAAUUGGAAGCAAGACGAUAGGCGCCCGAGGGCUAAUUUAACAAAAUAGUAAGGUGCACCGGUAUGGCAAGAGUUAUGUACAUGUUCUCUUGACUCGGCAACACUAAUAUCGUGUGAAUUUUCAGACUUACACUUACUAAUUUAACAAAAUAGUAAGGUGCACCGGUAUGGCAGAGUUAUGUACAUGUUCUCUUGACUCGGCAACACUAAUAUCGUCUUGCUCUCCAUCGCAAUCUAGUUGUCAUGCUACCUUCAGCUCCAUUCCUUAUUGUUGUACUCCAUUCAACUCGUUCCUCCAUUAGUCAUGUUGUGCCUCUUGACUCUACCUUCCUUCGGCUUUCUCCAUGCACCUAAUCCUCUUUAUUUCCUCUACACUUUUCAAUGUCUUUUGAAACGUGGAACACCUUUCCUCAAUCUGACCGGCGGUCUGGUUCGUCUGUUUCGUUCUUCAUUAAUUCUAGCAUCCUUUCCCUUUGUUUUGUCAACAUCAAGGAAAAUAGAAUGUGCAACCACUUGUGUAGGAGCGACGAAGCAUUGUGCAUCGCUCCAACAACACGAGCAGCCAUGCUAGUUUGAGUAGAGGAACCAACAUUGAAGCCAGAGACAAGUAAUGGAUCAGUUGUUAUACGCUUUAGUUCUGAUCCCAACAUAUUUAAUAAGCAUAAGUUAGAUCUAUAACACAGGAAACUAUGGCAGGCAUAAGUUGACAUAGUGAUCAUAAAGUCAAAUCUGCUCACACGACAUCAAAUCAAAUGAAUAAGAAUUAACCCUUCCUAUGUCCAAUGUACCAAGUUUGUACUACAUAGUCAGACCAAUUCUUAUAAAGAUUUCUCAAACUCUAGGAGAAUGUUAAUACAAAUAGGUCUUCAUAUCUAACCAGGUCAUUCUAAUGUGCAUUUAAACCACAAAGUUAAGGGAUACAUUUACAUGGUCAUGCACUCAUCGAGACAUGCAUCUAAACAAUUUGUGGACCCAUGUUUGCUACUGAACUUGUUACAAAAAAAUCAAAAAUCGGAACCACAAACAUGAAACCUUCAGUACAAUCUACAUUUUUGGCAAAAACUUGAUAAUUGAAAAUAAUCCCUGCUUCCUGAAAAAGAACAAUCAACUACAAUACAUGAUGUGAAUAUUUCAUGAAAUAUAUGUCACAUUUGUAGCUCCAAGCAUCCGUUGGCGGCAGCGUCAGACGACGACCCAG
rnacentral:lncRNA from 1 species